AUACCAUUAAUCUUCAUGAACCCCUAAUUUAUAAUGAAUGACUCCAUAUUUAUAUGGAAGACACCAUGCUAGGAUUAGUAACAAGAAUUUAUAAUUCUCCAAAAUGCAAACAUAAACCAACAUGGAUAGACCAUUGGUAGUUACCGAACCUAAAUUCACUGCAAUAACACCCACAAGAAAACUCUGCAGUACUUACUCGUUAACCUAACACUAGCGCAUUACAGGAAAGAUUUAAAAAAAGAGAAGGAAUUCGGCAAAUGACGGCCCCGCCUGUUUACCAAAAACAUCGCCUCUUGACUUAUAAUAAGAGGUCCAGCCUGCCCAGUGAAUUUUUAACGGCCGCGGUAUCCUAACCGCGCGAAGGUAGCAUAAUCACUUGUUCUUUAAAUGGGGACUCGUAUCAACGGCAUCACGAGGGUUUUACUGUCUCCUCUUUUUGAUCAGUGAAAUUGAUCUUCCCGUGAAGAAGCGGGAAUAAUACUAUAAGACGAGAAGACCCCAUGGAGCUUAAAACCAAAUAACAACUUAACCACUCACCCCCCUAUAAAUUUAAGCCCUGUUAUAAGGUUUUCGGUUGGGGUGACCGCGGAGUAAAGCUCAUCCUCCACGACGGAAAGAACACACUCUUUAUUUAAGAACCACAAUUCUAGAAAUUAGUAUACUAACGUUUACUGACCCGAUAAUCGAUCAACGGACCAAGUUACCCUGGGGAUAACAGCGCAAUCUACUUCAAGAGCUCAUAUCGACAAGUAGGCUUACGACCUCGAUGUUGGAUCAGGGUAUCCCGGUGGUGCAGCCGCUACCGAAGGUUCGUUUGUUCAACGAUUAAAACCCUACGUGAUCUGAU
rnacentral:rRNA from 1 species